rnacentral:lncRNA from 10 species
UGAAGCACCUUAUAAAUAUUUGUUAUUUGAAGGAAAUAUCUAAUGAAGACUUUCUACUUCAAAAUGAUGAUCAGCAAAUAUUUGUUGAGUGUCUACUAUGGGCAAUAUAUGGAGUUAGGUAUUCUGAGGCAUCAGGAUGGAAAACACAAAUAAGACAGAGAAACAUGCACAUGGUGUUUCCUUUGCAUUGUUUCCAAGAGGCUUUAGGGGGAUAAUGUCAUGGAACAAUUGGCUGUCUUUAUAAGUUAGUUUUAUGGUAUAUAGCAAUAUGGACUGUCUCCAGUUUAGGAUGGAUUGGGUUCUAGAAAUUCAUUUGAAAAUUAGUUGUUUGAAAAUCAGAAAACAUUUCCCUAUGCUAAAAUUUUAAGGGCACCUAACCUGCUUUUAUAACAUUGAAUUGAUUUCAUCACCAGAGCUGCCCCUAGGGUAUGAGGGAGUCCCUGGUCAUUUUUUUUUCCUCAUGGGACAUCUGUUUGUAUAAGCAAUUUGAGUCACCCAAAAUCAGCAUAUGAGCAUCAUUCUGACGCCUAGUCUCUUCUGAUCACAUGAAAUAUAUGCCACAUUGGCCAGCAGAGACAACGCAUUUGCCAGGCUGCCCUCUCAGAACCAGGGCUUAGCCAUUGCACCCUGGGUGGCCCCACAGGCUUGAGUGCUGGAGCUCCCUGGGGCACUUGGUUGACUGCACAGUGUAGGGAAGCAGUAAAGGUUUGGAGAGCUGCCAGAAUGUGAGACAUGGAUGGGGACUCACACAAGUCCUAGUCCAGGCUCAGGGUGACUUCCCAGUUGGCACUGCACCAGAAGGGACUCCAAGGCUUGGGAAUCCCUGAGUCCUGGGUUCUGGCCAGGACUCCUGCUUUCCUGAGUUUAAGAGUGAUAAUAGCAGUGACAAUAUUUCCAAGGGAAAGUGCAUUAUCAGUUUCAAUUCAGAGUACCAAUAGCACAUUUCUGAUGUGUCUGACACACUUUAGGUGCUCAUUAUAUUGAUGAAUGAAUAAAUGAAUGGUUUGAGGCUAGGGUGCUCCUUCUGGUAAAAGGGUAGGCUGAAGUUUGUAUAAGAAAAGGCACUUCUGUGUGUGGGUCACCAGUCAGCUGUUCUACUUUAGGGGGUGAAGGUUAAUUACAAUAAGUGGGUUAGAACUGGGAAUAUCAAACCUGCAAUGGCAUCUCUCAGUUCUUUGGUAGACACUGAUCAAAAGCUGAAAAAUCACAAACUUUAAAAAUUGUUGUUAUACUUCUGAAGAAUUACAGAUAAAAAAUGUUGUAGAAGACUUACACAAAUCCAAUUUAGCUACAAUUUUGAUGAGACUUAGAAUUUCUAAUAGUCAGAUCGACACCAACUUUUGAGACCCAAAGUGAAAAUAUGGGUAACAAAUACUUUUUUCAAAUAAUAAUUUGUAAGAAGAUAAUUCACACACUCUUCACUGACCUGCAGAGAAGGUCCUGCCACUGCUGAAUAAUCCUCAGAUUAAUUAGGAGUUAAUAUAGCAGUUGCAUCUUAAAGAGUUUUCCUCACGUAGUCGUAAGUACUUAAACCCUCUUCUGCACACCCUGACUGUAAUGACAUGUCUCUGAAUACUCAGGAUGGCGUAUUGUGUAUGGCUGUGGCAUCGCAAUUUUCCCAGUAGCUGCCACUGGUACCACCCUCUGCAACUGGUGAGAAGGAAGUUGAGCAUAUUCAUUAUUCCUUAGUUGCUUCUGCAGAGACAACCACCGGUAACUCUACUUUGCCAAAUGGGUAUGAGGUAGAGGGUGACUUUACGUGACAGAAAGGUAUUUUCGUUUGUUGGCUUAAUGCCAACAGUGGCUGAAAUAACCAUUUAAUAUAAUUAGUGAUUCUUAGGUCUUUGUACAGUAAAUGCUUUGCUGGAACAAUAGCAAAGAGUUUUAACAGCAACUACACUAAUGGAUCAGGAUGAGUGGAUUUAUGGUUAGUGGGGGCUUAUCACAAGGUGGGUGCAGAAGACCUUUUGGUCCUGAGCUCACAUUUAUGAAGGGUCUUGAAAUUUACAUGUUCACAUUACCUUGAAAUGAGGCUACGUGUAGUCACGGGCUACCUUGCCAAGACUGAACAUUUAAAAUAUCCUGUUAUUUCUGUAACCCUGCUUCGGCUUUUAUUGUGUUUUAUUACCUUGAACACCUUAAAACAUGGAGGUGAUCCAGCAGUCUCCAGAUGCAGAUUGGAGGGAGGCCCCAGUAAGCUGCCCAGUCAUACUCUGCAUAGACAUAACCUUCUACUCUAUGGUGUAGAAAUGAAAGGCUUUGAUGGCUUUGUUUUCCCAGCCUAGACACUUAUGAAAUAGAAAAGCUAAAGUGGGGACAAGUGCAUGGUACCUGACAUUAGGCUCAUUCAUUCAUUCACUCACUGAAU